UACGUAGGGGGCGAGCGUUGUCCGGAUUUACUGGGCGUAAAGGGUGCGUAGGCGGGUCUUUAAGUCAGGGGUGAAAUCCUGGAGCCCAACUCCAGAACUGCCUUUGAUACUGAAGAUCUUGAGUUCGGGAGAGGUGAGUGGAACUGCGAGUGUAGAGGUGAAAUUCGUAGAUAUUCGCAAGAACACCAGUGGCGAAGGCGGCUCACUGGCCCGAUACUGACGCUGAGGCACGAAAGCGUGGGGAGCAAACAGG
rnacentral:rRNA from 1 species